rnacentral:rRNA from 1 species
CGGACGGGUGAGUAACGCGUGGGUAACCUGCCUCACACUGGGGGAUAACAGUUAGAAAUAGCUGCUAAUACCGCAUAAGCGCACGGUUCCGCAUGGUACAGUGUGAAAAACUCCGGUGGUGUGAGAUGGAUCCGCGUCUGAUUAGCCAGUUGGCGGGGUAACGGCCCACCAAAGCGACGAUCAGUAGCCGACCUGAGAGGGUGACCGGCCACAUUGGGACUGAGACACGGCCCAA